GCUGGAGGACUAAGAAGGCUGAGUCUGAUGAAGUAAGAUUUGGCUGAUACAUUCCUCCUAGAGAAAAGGGUUGGAGAGAGCAGCCCUUACUGGAGAGUGUCCCAGGGCUGACUGUACUACCCAACACAU
ensembl:snoRNA